GAUGAACGCUGGCGGCGUGCUUAACACCUGCAAGUCGAGCGAAGCGAUUUUAAGGAAGCCUUCGGGUGGAAAUAAAAUUGACUGAGCGGCGGACGGGUGAGUAACGCGUGGGUAACCUGCCUCAUACAGGGGGAUAACAGUUAGAAAUGACUGCUAAUACCGCAUAAGCGCGCAGUGCUGCAUAGCACCGUGUGAAAAACUCCGGUGGUAUGAGAUGGACCAGCGUCUGAUUAGGUAGUUGGUAGGGUAACGGCCUACGAAGCCGACGAUCAGGGGCGGACCUGAGAGGUUGACAGGGACCAUUAGGAAUGCGACACUGACCAAACUCCUCAGGGAGGAUGCAGUGGGGAAUAUUGGACAAUGGCGAAAACCCUGAUCCAGCGCCGCCGCGUGAGUCAAGCAGUAUUACGGUAUGUAAAGCUCUCUUAGCGGGGAAGAAAAUGACAGUACCUAACUAAGAAGCCCCGGCUAACUACGUGCAAGAAGCCGCCGUAA
rnacentral:rRNA from 1 species